rnacentral:tRNA from 1 species
AAGAAAACUAAGCAGCUAACAAAGCUUCUAACUUUGUGAGGAGAUGUUCAACCCAUUUCUUUUCUUA